rnacentral:tRNA from 1 species
GACAUUUUAACUAUACUAAGUAUAUAUUUUGAAAAUAUAAAAAAGAAAUUUUCUAAAUGUCU